GGAUUAACCAUUUUGAUAUUGAUCCGGAGCUUUGCAAUGACACCCAUCGGCUCGAUUGGAUGACC
rnacentral:snoRNA from 1 species